GAAAGAUAAAGAUUUUUGAUAAUAUAAAUAGUUUAUAUUUUUAUGAAAAAUGUCAUAUAUAUCAUCUGAUAAUAUUAGUGUUAUUUGUUCGAUAAAUAAAUUCAUGAUAUCAUAUAUUUGUUAAUUAAUUUUUUAAAACUAAAUAUACAUCAAAUUUAUGAUAAUUAAAAUAAUUAAAAUAAUAUUGUGAACAGGUGUGACACAUUAUUAAUUUAUAAUAAUGUGAUUGAUAUAUUGUAAAUAUAUAUAUAAUACUUUAAAUCGAAUGCUGUUAUAGAAGAGCUAAAAUACGUUUAGAAUAUUCAAUUUAAAUGUCGUUUUUGCCGUCACGUUUAAUUAUAUUCCAACAGAUAUUCCGUGAAUUUAUAUUUUAUAAAUCAUAUUCGUAUAUAUAUACACAUACAUAUAUUAAUAAUAUAUUUAAAAAUACGAUGUGAAAUAUAAAUUAUAAAAAUGUAAACAAAUUUAAUGCAUAAUUUCAAAAGAUUGCUAAGAAUAAUACGUAAUAACACGUAACGUUAAUGAUUAUAACCUAUAUGAAUGUUGAAAAUUUGACAGUAAAAAAAAUAAAAAAAGAAAAUCAAUGAUUUGAAACAAUAAAUAUUUUAAUAAGUGGAAAAAAUUCAUUCAAUGUGCUUGUCAUUGCAUACUGUCAAAGUACAUAGGCAGCCCUAAGAUGUUAUGCAGAAGCAUGACUGUUAACUUUAAAGCUAUUCUAUUCUAUCAUUUUUAAACGUAAAUAAUGAAAGAAAACAAGAAAUUUGGUUAGAUUAAAUAUAGGAAUCUUUGGUCCUUUGGUAAAACAUAUAUCCGAAAAUAUAAUGGCAAUAAAAUACUAAGCUUGGAUUAAAUAUUCUUCAUUAAUAUUAAAAUAUUUACUUUUCAUUAGAAAAUUAAAACAAACAGAAUCAAACAUUAUUAUUUUUGUUCUUCUUCUACGAUUAUAGUCUUUAUAUUUAAUAUUUAAUUAUAAACGUAUAUUUGCGUACAUUUUUAUGUUUUUUAUGUUUCAUUUGUGCAUUUUCCAAAUAAGAUACAAGAAGAAGAAUUUAGUUGUGAGUAUUAAUUGAGAUGAAAAUCAUUUAAUUAUAUAAAAAGAACAUUAACAUUAACGUAUCACGUAAUAAAAUGAACGAGAUAAAAUAGUAAGUAUUGGUAAGAAGAUUUGUAUGAAAUAUAUGAUGAAAAAAAUGAUUUCCAGUAAA